GACCCGAGUAUGACCGGAGAAGCCCAGGCCGGCCGGAAGAGGAGCCGAGCGCUGCCGGAAGGAACCGAGCCCGUCCGAAGGGAGCGGAGCGCAGCCUGGCCUGGGGCCCGGUCGAGCCCGCGCCAUGGCGGCCGAGGGGACAGCUGUGGCCGGAAGCGGGGCUGUUGGCGGCUGCCUGGCCAAAGACGGCUUGCAGCAGUCUAAGUGCCCGGACACUACCCCAAAACGGCGGCGCGCCUCGUCGCUGUCGCGUGACGCCGAGCGCCGAGCCUACCAAUGGUGCCGGGAGUACUUGGGCGGGGCCUGGCGCCGAGUGCAGCCCGAGGAGCUGAGGGUUUACCCCGUGAGCGGAGGCCUCAGCAACCUGCUCUUCCGCUGCUCGCUCCCGGACCACCUGCCCAGCGUUGGCGAGGAGCCCCGGGAGGUGCUCCUGCGGCUGUACGGAGCCAUCUUGCAGGGUGUGGACUCCCUGGUGCUAGAAAGCGUGAUGUUCGCCAUCCUUGCGGAGCGGUCGCUGGGGCCCCAGCUGUACGGAGUCUUCCCAGAGGGCCGGCUGGAACAGUACAUCCCAAGUCGGCCAUUGAAAACUCAAGAGCUUCGAGAGCCAGUGUUGUCAGCAGCCAUUGCCACGAAGAUGGCGCAAUUUCAUGGCAUGGAGAUGCCUUUCACCAAGGAGCCCCACUGGCUGUUUGGGACCAUGGAGCGGUACCUAAAACAGAUCCAGGACCUGCCCCCAACUGGCCUCCCUGAGAUGAACCUGCUGGAGAUGUACAGCCUGAAGGAUGAGAUGGGCAACCUCAGGAAGUUACUAGAGUCUACCCCAUCGCCAGUUGUCUUCUGCCACAAUGACAUCCAGGAAGGUAGGAGAAGGCAUCUGAGUCUCCUAACCCAAGAUGGAAGAGCCAGAGGGCUCUGGAGUGAGCAGAACCUCACCCCAUUCCCCCAGGGAACAUCUUGCUGCUCUCAGAGCCAGAAAAUGCUGACAGCCUCAUGCUGGUGGACUUCGAGUACAGCAGUUAUAACUAUAGGGGCUUUGACAUUGGGAACCAUUUUUGUGAGUGGGUUUAUGAUUAUACUCACGAGGAAUGGCCUUUCUACAAAGCAAGGCCCACAGACUACCCCACUCAAGAACAGCAGAGGCAAAGAAAGGUGAGACCCUCUCCCAAGAGGAGCAGAGAAAACUGGAAGAAGAUUUGCUGGUAGAAGUCAGUCGGUAUGCUCUGGCAUCCCAUUUCUUCUGGGGUCUGUGGUCCAUCCUCCAGGCAUCCAUGUCCACCAUAGAAUUUGGUUACUUGGACUAUGCCCAGUCUCGGUUCCAGUUCUACUUCCAGCAGAAGGGGCAGCUGACCAGUGUCCACUCCUCAUCCUGACUCCACCCUCCCACUCCUUGGAUUUCUCCUGGAGCCUCCAGGGCAGGACCUUGGAGGGAGGAACAACGAGCAGAAGGCCCUGGCGACCGGGCUGAGCCCCCAAGUGAAACUGAGGUUCAGGAGACCGGCCUGUCCCUGAGUUUGAGUAGGUCCCCAUGGCUGGCAGGCCAGAGCCCCGUGCUGUGUAUGUAACACAAUAAACAAGCUUCUUCUUCGCA